UGGUCCCGCCAGUUAGAUGGGAGCUUGCUCCCUGAUGUUAGCGGCGGACGGGUGAGUAACACGUGGGUAACCUGCCUGUAAGACUGGGAUAACUCCGGGAAACCGGGGCUAAUACCGGAUGGUUGUUUGAACCGCAUGGUUCAAACAUAAAAGGUGGCUUCGGCUACCACUUACAGAUGGACCCGCGGCGCAUUAGCUAGUUGGUGAGGUAACGGCUCACCAAGGCGACGAUGCGUAGCCGACCUGAGAGGGUGAUCGGCCACACUGGGACUGAGACACGGCCCAGACUCCUACGGGAGGCAGCAGUAGGGAAUCUUCCGCAAUGGACGAAAGUCUGACGGAGCAACGCCGCGUGAGUGAUGAAGGUUUUCGGAUCGUAAAGCUCUGUUGUUAGGGAAGAACAAGUACCGUUCGAAUAGGGCGGUACCUUGACGGUACCUAACCAGAAAGCCACGGCUAACUACGUGCCAGCAGCCGCGGUAAUACGUAGGUGGCAAGCGUUGUCCGGAAUUAUUGGGCGUAAAGGGCUCGCAGGCGGUUUCUUAAGUCUGAUGUGAAAGCCCCCGGCUCAACCGGGGAGGGUCAUUGGAAACUGGGGAACUUGAGUGCAGAAGAGGAGAGUGGAAUUCCACGUGUAGCGGUGAAAUGCGUAGAGAUGUGGAGGAACACCCAGUGGCGAAGGCGACU
rnacentral:rRNA from 1 species